rnacentral:rRNA from 1 species
CUGGAGCUUGCCGUGUGGGAUGCCCUCCUCCAAUCCAUUGCUCUUCAGCCUUUGGAUGUGGACAACACGCUCGACUCUGUGUCCUGGAGCUUGGAGUCCUCCGGUCAAUUCUCGACCAAGUCCCUAUAUCCGGCCAUUGCACCUUCCUCUACCCCUGAGCCGUUUAGCCUUAUAUGGGACAUUCGCUUGCCAUUGAAGAUCUGGAUCUUCAUGUGGCAGUGGAUUCGUGGCCGUCUCCCCUCCGGGGUUGACAUUCUGAAACGCAACGACCCAGGAGAUGGGAUGUGUCCCCUCUGUGCCACGACUGAGAACGCUAACCACAUCUUCUUCUCCUGCGUUACGGCUCAGUUCUUGUGUUCCUGCUUCCGCGAUACGGUCGGCGGUCGUUGGUGUAACACCAACUUCCCGGACUUAUUGGUGGAAAUCCAGGCCUCCGCCCCUCGUCACCGCCACAUUAGGUGGUUGUGCGUUGGGGUGCUUGCAUGGACGCUUUGGACCAUCCGCAAUAAGCUUGGCAUUCAACAGGCUCCUCUUUGGCGUGCGACUGACGCGGCCUUCAAAUUGUGUGGUUACUUGCAGCUUUGGUGGCUGCUUAGCCGCCUCCAGGAUCGGGACGCCAUCGACACCCUCCUCGCCGACCUUCGCGUGAUGGCCUUCCGAGUGGCGCCUCCUCUUCCGCCCCCACCCCCGGAGCCAGACUAG